rnacentral:tRNA from 1 species
GUCGGGCGUAAGCGUAAUCGGAGCGUGGCGCUCUCCUCAUCCUCGGGUGUCCGAGGUUGCUUCCAGCUUUCGAGCUGUGACGCGGGGUUCGAAUCCCUGCCCCGACA